CCUACGGGAGGCAGCAGUGAGGAAUAUUGGUCAAUGGGCGCGAGCCUGAACCAGCCAAGUCGCGUGAGGGAAGACGGUCCUAUGGAUUGUAAACCUCUUUUGCCGGGGAGCAAAAGACGCCACGCGUGGCGUUCCGAGAGUACCCGAAGAAAAAGCAUCGGCUAACUCCGUGCCAGCAGCCGCGGUAAUACGGAGGAUGCGAGCGUUAUCCGGAUUUAUUGGGUUUAAAGGGUGCGCAGGCGGAGGAUCAAGUCAGCGGUAAAAUUGAGGGGCUCAACCUCUUCGAGCCGUUGAAACUGGUUUGCUUGAGUGGGCGAGAAGUAUGCGGAAUGCGUGGUGUAGCGGUGAAAUGCAUAGAUAUCACGCAGAACUCCGAUUGCGAAGGCAGCAUACCGGCGCUCAACUGACGCUCAUGCACGAAAGUGUGGGUAUCGAACAGGAUUAGAUACCCGAGUAGUC
rnacentral:rRNA from 1 species